GCCUGAGUGGCUCAAUUGGUUGAGCAUCUGACUCUUAAUUUCUGCUCAGGUCAUGAUCUCACAGUUUGUGGGUUUGAGCCCCCCAUCAGGCU
rnacentral:tRNA from 1 species